rnacentral:rRNA from 1 species
GAUCCGCCACACUGGAACUGGAACACGGACCAGACUCCUACGGGAGGCAGCAGUGAGGAAUAUUGCGCAAUGGGGGCAACCCUGACGCAGCGACGCCGCGUGAGUGAGGAAGGUCUUCGGAUCGUAAAGCUCUGUCAGAAGGGAAGAAAUGUUAUAUGGUUAAUACCCAUAUAAUUUGACGGUACCUUCAGAGGGAGCACCGGCUAACUCCGUGCCAGCAGCCGCGGUAAUACGGAGGGUGCGAGCGUUGUUCGGAAUUACUGGGCGUAAAGGGCGCGUAGGCGGCUUGAUAAGUCAGAUGUGAAAGUCCAUGGCUCAACCGUGGAAGUGCAUUUGAAACUGUCUGGCUUGAGUAUUGGAGGGGAAAGUGGAAUUCCCGGUGUAGAGGUGAAAUUCGUAGAGAUCGGGAGGAACACCUGUGGCGAAGGCGACUUUCUGGACAAAUACUGACGCUGAGGCGCGAAAGCGUGGGGAGCAAACAGGAUUAGAUACCCUGGUAGUCCACGCCGUAAACGAUGAUAACUAGAGGUAGGGGGUGUUGAUCCCUCCUGUCUCGCAGCUAACGCAUUAAGUUAUCCGCCUGGGGAGUACGGUCGCAAGAUUAAAACUCAAAGGAAUUGACGGGGGCCCGCACAAGCGGUGGAGUAUGUGGUUUAAUUCGACGCAACGCGAAGAACCUUACCUGGACUUGACAUCCCGAGAAUCUCCUGGAAACAGGAGAGUGCGUCAUCAGAUGAACUCGGUGACAGGUGCUGCAUGGCUGUCGUCAGCUCGUGUCGUGAGAUGUUGGGUUAAGUCUCGCAACGAGCGCAACCCCUGUCUUUAGUUGCCAUCAUUAAGUUGGGCACUCUAGAGAGACUGCCGGUGUCAAACCGGAGGAAGGUGGGGAUGACGUCAAGUCCUCAUGGCCUUUAUGUCCAGGGCUACACACGUACUACAAUGGUCGAUACAAAGGGCAGCGACUUAGCGAUGAGAAGCUAAUCCCAGAAAGUCGGUCUCAGUCCGGAUUGGAGUCUGCAACUCGACUCCAUGAAGUUGGAAUCGCUAGUAAUCGUGGAUCAGCAUGCCACGGUGAAUACGUUCCCGGGCCUUGUACACACCGCCCGUCACACCACGGAAGUUGGUUGUUCCAGAAGUAGUUGAGCUAACCGCAAGGAGGCAGGCUACCAAGGAAUGGCUGGUAACUGGGGUGAAGUCGUAACAA